CAUCUCAUUGGCUACUUGCUCGGUGAAUUUCACUUCCGGUGCAGGCGUUGGCUUCUGGGGGGCGGAGCUACUGUGACUGAACCAGUCGGUGAAGGCUUCGUGGGCUUCCUGGAAGAACGUUUCAUCUUUAAUAAAAACUAAGUUCUACAGGAAACUUCAAGCGGGAGUGACAAACUUUGCCUCGCAUCUGGAGACGUGUGGUGCGAGAGAGCGAGGACUAAAGUCAUUGAUGACGGCAGACACCGACCAGAAAUCUUCUCAUGAUUGCGUUGGACUGCUUCAGGGCUUCAGCCCGGUGGGCGGCGUCAAACAAAAGCCAGUCGAUGACGUCGAUCUUCUUCUGGUCUUCCUAGUCUGCCUGUGGUGCGUGAAGUCGGCGUCUUCUCGCUCUCUCACCGUCUCCACCACCAGUUUGGUGACAGCAGCCACAUCCAAACCUAUACAAACAAAAUGACUCCAAAUGUGCCCGUCACCCCGCUGGCUGUUGAAAAU